rnacentral:rRNA from 1 species
AGGUGGCGGGUCCGCCCGUACCCUAAACCGACACUGGUGGAUAGGUAGAGUAUACCGAGGCGAUCGAGUGAAUCGUGGUGAAGGAACUCGGCAAAAUGCCCCCGUAACUUUGGGAUAAGGGGGACCUGAGCUGUCGUGCACCCGUGCGGUGUGGUGGCGGUGAGGGGCGCAGAGUCCAGGGGGAAACGACUGUUUACCAAAAACAC